CACGUAGGCACCAAGCGUUGUCCGGAUUUAUUGGGCGUAAAGAGCUCGUAGGCGGUUCAGUAAGUCAGGUGUGAAAUCUUUGGGCUUAACCCAAAGCGUGCACUUGAUACUGCUGUGACUUGAGUUCGGUAGGGGAGUGGGGAAUUCCUGGUGUAGCGGUGAAAUGCGCAGAUAUUAGGAGGAACACCGGUGGCGAAGGCGGGUCUCUGGGCCGAUACUGACGCUGAGGAGCGAAAGCAUGGGGAGCGAACAGG
rnacentral:rRNA from 1 species